rnacentral:rRNA from 1 species
GAUGAACGCUGGCGGCGUGCCUAAUACAUGCAAGUCGAGCGAACAGACGAGGAGCUUGCUCCUCUGACGUUAGCGGCGGACUGGUGAGUAACACGUGGAUAACCUACCUAUAAGACUGGGAUAACUUCGGGAAACCGGAGCUAAUACCGGAUAAUAUAUUGAACCGCAUGGUUCAAUAGUGAAAGACGGUUUUGCUGUCACUUAUAGAUGGAUCCGCGCCGCAUUAGCUAGUUGGUAAGGUAACGGCUUACCAAGGCAACGAUGCGUAGCCGACCUGAGAGGGUGAUCGGCCACACUGGAACUUAGACACGGUCCAGACUCCUACGGGAGGCAGCAGUAGGGAAUCUUCCGCAAUGGGCGAAAGCCUGACGGAGCAACGCCGCGUGAGUGAUGAAGGUCUUCGGAUCGUAAAACUCUGUUAUUAGGGAAGAACAAAUGUGUAAGUAACUAUGCACGUCUUGACGGUACCUAAUCAGAAAGCCACGGCUAACUACGUG